CAGUCGCCACGGGAAUACGUAGGGUGCGAGCGUUAAUCGGAAUUACUGGGCGUAAAGCGUGCGCAGGCGGUUGUGUAAGACAGGUGUGAAAUCCCCGGGCUUAACCUGGGAACUGCGCUUGUGACUGCACGGCUAGAGUAUGGCAGAGGGGGGUGGAAUUCCACGUGUAGCAGUGAAAUGCGUAGAGAUGUGGAGGAACACCGAUGGCGAAGGCAGCCCCCUGGGCCAAUACUGACGCUCAUGCACGAAAGCGUGGGGAGCAAACAGGAUUAGAUACCCGAGUAGUCCCUGUCUCUUAUAC
rnacentral:rRNA from 1 species